rnacentral:rRNA from 1 species
UACGUAGGGGGCAAGCGUUGUCCGGAAUCAUUGGGCGUAAAGAGCGUGUAGGCGGUUCGGUAAGUCGGCUGUGAAAGUCCAGGGCUCAACCCUGGGAUGCCGGUCGAUACUGCCGGACUAGAGUUCGGAAGAGGAGAGUGGAAUUCCUGGUGUAGCGGUGAAAUGCGCAGAUAUCAGGAAGAACACCAAUGGCGAAGGCAGCUCUCUGGGACGGUACUGACGCUGAGACGCGAAAGCGUGGGGAGCGAACAGG